GGAGCCUGCGGUUUAAUCGGACUCAACGCCGGGAAACUCACCAGAUAAGACAGCUGAAUGAUAGUCGGGCUGAAGACUCUACUUGACUAGCUGAGAGGAGGUGCAUGGCCGUCGUCAGUUCGUACUGUGAAGCAUCCUGUUAAGUCAGGCAACGAGCGAGACCCACGCCAACAGUUGCCAGCUCGUCCUCCGGGAUGGUGGGGACACUGUUGGGACCGCCUCUGCUAAAGAGGAGGAAGGAAUGGGGCAACGGUAGGUCAGCAUGCCCCGAAUUAUCUGGGCUACACGCGGGCUACAAUGGGUGGGACAAUGGGUAUCGACACCGAAAGGUGAAGGCAAUCUCCUAAACCCAUCCGUAGUUCGGAUUGUGGGCUGCAACUCGCCCACAUGAAGCUGGAAUCUGUAGUAAUCGUGUCUCAAAAUGGCACGGUGAAUAUGUCCCUGCUCCUU
rnacentral:rRNA from 1 species